rnacentral:rRNA from 1 species
GACGAACGCUGGCGGCGUGCUUAACACAUGCAAGUCGAACGGAAAGGCCCUGCUUUUGUGGGGUGCUCGAGUGGCGAACGGGUGAGUAACACGUGAGUAACCUGCCUUUGACUUUGGGAUAACUCCAGGAAACUGGGGCUAAUACCGGAUAGGAGCUCCUGCUGCAUGGUGGGGGUUGGAAAGUUUCGGCGGUUGGGGAUGGACUCGCGGCUUAUCAGCUUGUUGGUGGGGUAGUGGCUUACCAAGGCUUUGACGGGUAGCCGGCCUGAGAGGGUGACCGGCCACAUUGGGACUGAGAUACGGCCCAGACUCCUACGGGAGGCAGCAGUGGGGAAUAUUGCACAAUGGGCGGAAGCCUGAUGCAGCAACGCCGCGUGCGGGAUGACGGCCUUCGGGUUGUAAACCGCUUUCGCCUGUGACGAAGCGUGAGUGACGGUAAUGGGUAAAGAAGCACCGGCUAACUACGUG